rnacentral:rRNA from 8 species
AACGACUCUCGGCAACGGAUAUCUCGGCUCUCGCAUCGAUGAAGAACGUAGCGAAAUGCGAUACUUGGUGUGAAUUGCAGAAUCCCGUGAACCAUCGAGUCUUUGAACGCAAGUUGCGCCCGAAGCCAUCUGGCCGAGGGCACGUCUGCCUGGGCGUCACGC